rnacentral:rRNA from 1 species
GAUGAACGCUAGCGGCAGGCCUAACACAUGCAAGUCGAGGGGUAACAUAGAAAAGCUUGCUUUUCUGAUGACGACCGGCGCACGGGUGCGUAACGCGUAUACAACCUACCUUUUAGCGGGGAAUAGCCCAGGGAAACUUGGAUUAAUGCCCCAUAGUAUAUAGACUUCUCCUGAAGUUUAUAUUAAACAUUUAUGGCUAUUAGAUGGGUAUGCGUCCUAUUAGUUAGUUGGUAAGGUAACGGCUUACCAAGGCAGCGAUAGGUAGGGGUCCUGAGAGGGAGAUCCCCACACUGGUACUGAGACACGGACCAGACUCCUACGGGAGGCAGCAGUGAGGAAUAUUGGACAAUGGGCGAGAGCCUGAUCCGGCCAUGCCGCGUGCAGGAAGACUGCCCUAUGGGUUGUAAACUGCUUUUACAGAGGAAGAACCACCCCCACGUGUGGGGGUUUGACGGUACUCUGCGAAUAAGGAUCGGCUAACUCCGUG